rnacentral:rRNA from 1 species
GCUUAAAGGGGCUGUAGCCGGAUAGGCAAGUCUUUGGGUAAAUCAUACGUCUUAAGCGUGGGAAUUCUAAAGAUACUACCUGUCUUGAGGCCGGGAGAGGCUAGAGGUACUCCUGGGGUAGGGGUAAAACCCUAUAAUCCUAGGGGGACCACCGAUGGCGAAGGCAUCUAGCUGGAACGGGCCUGACGGUGAGGGACGAAACCCAGGGGAGCGAGCCGGAUUAGAUACCCGGGUAGUCCUGGGCGUAAAUGAUGUGGGCUUGGUGUGAGCGCAUCGACGAGGUGCGUUUGUGCCGUAGGGAAGCCGUUAAGCCCACCGCCUGGGGAGUACGGUCGCAAGGCUGAAACUUAAAGGAAUUGGCGGGGGAGCACUACAAGGGGUGGAGGCUGCGGUUUAAUUGGAUUCAACGCCGGGAAACUCACUGGGAGCGACAGCAGAAUGAAAGCCAGGCUAAUGACCUUGCCAGACAAGCUGAGAGGAGGUGCAUGGCCGCCGUCAGUUCGUACCGUGAGGCGUACUCUUAAGUGAGUCAACGAACGAGACCCUCAUCUGCAGUUGCCAGCUUGCCCUCCGGGGCGAAGGGGACUCUGCAGAGACCGCUGGUGCUAAAUCAGAGGAAGGAGGGGGCAACGGUAGGUCAGUAUGCCCCGAAUCUCCCAGGCUACACGCGGCCUACAAUGAGCGAGACAGUGAGUUCUGACACCGAAAGGUGAAAGUAAUCUCAUAAACUCGCCCGAAGUUCGGAUUGAGGGUUGUAACUCACCCUCAUGAAGCUGGAAUCCCUAGUAAUCGCGUGUCAUCAUCGCGCGGUGAAUACGUCCCUGCUCCUUGUACCCACCGCCCGU